CCUACGGGUGGCAGCAGUGAGGAAUAUUGGUCAAUGGGCGGGAGCCUGAACCAGCCAAGUCGCGUGAGGGAAGACGGUCCUAUGGAUUGUAAACCUCUUUAGGCGGGGAGCAAUGCCGGGCACGUGUGCCCGGAGGGAGAGUACCCGCAGAAUAAGCAUCGCCUAACCCCGUGCCAGCAGCCGCGUUAUUCCGGAGGAUGCAGGCUUUAUCCGGAUUUAUUGGGUUUAAAGGGUGCGUAGGCGGAUGUUUAAGUCAGCGGUAAAAUUUCCGGGCUCAACCCGGGCCGGCCGUUGAAACUGGGGAUCUUGAGUGGACGAGAAGUAUGCGGAAUGCGUGGUGUAGCGGUGAAAUGCAUAGAUAUCACGCAGAACUCCGAUUGCGAAGGCAGCAUACCGGCGCCCGACUGACGCUGAGGCACGAAAGCGUGGGGAUCGAACAGGAUUAGAUACCCGUGUAGUC
rnacentral:rRNA from 1 species